GACGAACGCUGGCGGCGUGCUUAACACAUGCAAGUCGAACGGAAAGGCCCUGCUUUUGUGGGGUGCUCGAGUGGCGAACGGGUGAGUAACACGUGAGUAACCUGCCCUUGACUUUGGGAUAACUUCAGGAAACUGGGGCUAAUACCGGAUAGGAGCUCCUGCUGCAUGGUGGGGGUUGGAAAGUUUCGGCGGUUGGGGAUGGACUCGCGGCUUGUCAGCUUGUUGGUGGGGUAGUGGCUUACCAAGGCUUUGACGGGUAGCCGGCCUGAGAGGGUGACCGGCCACAUUGGGACUGAGAUACGGCCCAGACUCCUACGGGAGGCAGCAGUGGGGAAUAUUGCACAAUGGGCGGAAGCCUGAUGCAGCAACGCCGCGUGCGGGAUGACGACCUUCGGGUUGUAAACCGCUUUCGCCUGUGACGAAGCGUGAGUGACGGUAAUGGGUAAAGAAGCACCGGCUAACUACGUG
rnacentral:rRNA from 1 species